ACAAAUUGAAGGUUUAUGGCACUUCUGUGUCAAGCAAGCAUAUCACCAUCAUUUUUCCAACAGUCUGUGCUCAAUUCCUGUCUCUGUGCCACAUUUAGUAAUUCUUGCAAAAUUUCAAACUUUUUCAUUAUUUUUACAUCUAUUAUGGUGAUGUGUGAUAUCGGGGAACCUGCCCCCAAUAUUUCACCAUAGGUUCUUUCUAUUUUCCCUAAGUGUCAGCCAGCUGAGUAAUAAAGAGAAAGAGUACAAAGAGAGGAAUUUUACAGUUGGGCCACCAGGGAUGAUAUCACAUAUCGGGAGGACUGUGAUGCCCACCUGAGCCGCAAAACCAGCAUGUUUUUAUUAAGGACUUUAAAAGGGGAGGGGGUGUAUGAACAAGGAGUAGGUCACAAAGAUCACAUGCAUCAAAGAGCAAAAAGGAGAACGAAGAUCACAUGCCAAUAAAGAUCACAAGGCAAAGGGCAAAGCAAAGAUCACAAGGCAAAGGGCGAAAUCAAAAACUCCUGAUAAGGGUCUAUGUUCAGCUAUGCACGUAUUGUCUUGAUAAACAUCUUAAACAACAGAAAACAGGGUUCAAGAGCAGAGAACUAGUCUGACCUCAAAUUUACCAGGGUGGGGUUUCUUCCCCACCCUAAUAAGCCUGAGGGUAGGCUUCCUCUCAUUCCCCAAAUUUUUCUUCAGUAACAAUGAUGGGAUCUAAGUCCUGAACCACUUGGUUCCUAUGGUUCUACUCCAGUUAAACCUUCCAUGCCUAAUCUGUGUCAGGGACUAGUAUUUUACAUAACACCAUUUGCUUAUUAGAAAAUACAAAGUACAAAUUCCUUUCCAGUUCCAAACUAUCCAGUCUGUCUCUCACACCUGCCAUUCUUCCGUUAAACAUAUGAUGACAGAGUGCUAUUAGAGGUUAAUAAAUAAAUAGCACUUGGGAGCUUGCAAUAUAGUGGGGAAGAGAUUCUAAAUGGAUAGACAAUUGUAAUACAUUCUGAUAAUGAUGUAAGUUGCUCUCGGAAUACAGAAUAAGAAGUCCAGACUCUGAGGGCUUCCGAUAGUGGUGAGGGAAGGAGUAGUUCCAGGGAAAAUCUAAGCAGGGGAUUACACACAUUAGAGGAAGGUCAAGUCAGUGGGUGUGGCUGUAGCACCAAAGUUAAGCUGAAAAGGUAGAAGAUGAUGGCCUUUUAUGCCAGGUCAAGGAGUUGGAUUCUGUUGUUCAGCAACUGGAGCUAUGGGAGGGUUUGAAGUACAAACAUACCUUGUCUUACUGCACUUUACUUUUUUCUUUGCAAAUUUUGAGAUAAACAUCUUAAACAACAGAAAACAGGGUUCGAGAGCAGAGAACUAGUCUGACCUCAAAUUUACCAGGUUGGGGUUUCUUCCCCACCCUGAUAAGCCUGAGGAUACUGCAGGAGAGCAGGGCGUAUUUCAGUCCUUAUCUCAACUGCAUAAGACAGACACUCCCAGAGCGGCCAUUUGUAGACCUCCCCCCAGGAAUGCAUUCCUUUCCCAGGGUCUUAAUUAUUAAUAUUCCUUGCUAGGAAAAGAAUUCAGCGAUAUCUUCCCUACUUGCACAUCUGUUUAUAGGCUCUCUGCAAGAAGAAAAAUAUGGCUCUAUUCUGCCCGACCCCACAGGCAGUCAGACCUUAUGAUUGUCUUCCCUCGUUCCCUGAAAAUCAUUGUUAUUCUGUUCUUUUUCAAGGUGCACUGAUUUCAUACUGUUCAAACACACGUUUUACAAUCAAUUUGUACAGUUUAACACAAUAGUGGUCCUGCUUACAAAGAUAACAGGAUUAAGAGAUUAAAGAUAGGCAUAA
rnacentral:lncRNA from 10 species